rnacentral:rRNA from 1 species
AUUGAACGCUGGCGGCAGGCCUAACACAUGCACGUAGACCGAGUGGCGGACGGGUGAGUAAUGUCUGGGAAAAUGACCGGUGGGGGGGGAUAACUACUGGAAAUAGUAGCUCAUACCGCAUACCAUCGGAUGUGCCCAGAUGGGAUUAGCUAGUAGGUGGGGUAACGGCUCACCUAGGCGGCGAUCCCUAUCUGGACUGAGAGGAUGACCGGCCACACUGGAACUUAGACACGGUCCAGACUCCUACGGGAGGCAGCAGUGGGGAAUAUUGCACAAUGGGCGCAAGCCUGAUGCAGCCAUGCCGCGUGUAUGAAGAAGGCCUUCGGGUUGUAAAGUACUUUCAGCGAGGAGGCGUUACUCGCAGAAGAAGCACCGGCUAACUCCGUGCCAGCAGCCGCGGUAAUUC